rnacentral:rRNA from 1 species
GAUUAACGCUGGCGGCGUGCCUAAUACAUGCAAGUCGAUCGAACGUACGAGAAGCUUGCUUCUCUUAUGUUAGCGGCGGACGGGUGAGUAACACGUGGAUAACCUACCUAUAAGACUGGGAUAACUUCGGGAAACCGUAGCUAAUACCGUAUAAUAUUUUGAACCGCAUGGUUCAAAAGUGAAAGACGGUCUUGCUGUCACUUAUAGAUGGAUCCGCGCUGCAUUAGCUAGUUGGUAAGGUAACGGCUUACCAAGGCAACGAUGCAUAGCCGACCUGAGAGUGUGAUAGGCCACACUGGUAGUGAGACACGGUCCAGACUCCUACGGGAGGCAGCAGUAGGGAAUCUUCCGCAAUGGGAGAAAGCCUGACGGAGCAACGCCGCGUGAGUGAUGAAGGUCUUCGGAUCGUAAAACUCUGUUAUGAGGGAAGAACAUAUGUGUAAGUAACUGUGCACAUCUUGACGGUACCUAAUCAGAAAGCCACGGCUAACUAAGUG